rnacentral:rRNA from 1 species
AUUGAACGCUGGCGGCAGGCCUAACACAUGCAAGUCGAGCGGAGCGGCGGACGGGUGAGUCAUGCCUAGGAAUCUGCCUGGUAGUGGGGGAUCCCGUCCGGCAACGGGCGCUAAUACCGCAUACUAUCAGAUGAGCCUAGGUCGGAUUAGCUAGUUGGUGGGGUAAAGGCAUACCAAGGCGACGAUCCGUAACUGGUCUGAGAGGAUGAUCAGUCAACGUGGAAGGGAGACAGGGUCCAGAUGCCUACGGGAGGAAGCAGUGGGGAGUAUGGGACAAUGGGCGAAAGCCUGAUGCAGCCAGGCGGCGUGUGUGAAGAAGGUCUUCGGAUUGUAAAGCACUUUAAGUUGGGAGGCGUUCCCAACAGAAUAAGCACCGGCUACCUUCGUGCCAGCAGCCGCGGUAAUAC